GGGAGAGGGAGAGAAAAGAGGAAAAAGGAGAAGAAGAAGAAAAUGAAGAAGGAAGGGAAGCUCCCAGCUACAUACGUGGUUGUUGGUUGUUGACAAAGGACAAAGAUGCGCACAUGCCCUGAGGCCAGAAUUGAAUUGAACACCCGCUGGCCGUACUUGGAACCCAAUCCAUUCAAACUUAAUCAAGAUGAUGAUGCAGGUAUAGUAGUGCCGCUUGGUGGUGACUCGACCUCAACGGGACCUGACUAUGGCAUAAGUGACUGGUGGAUGCCAGAAGUUGAAGAUCAUGAUUAGGAUUGUGCCAAUAACUGCUAUGCAUACGCGGCACCAUGAGAUGCACUGUGUAUUUUUUAUAUUCUGAUAUCGACCUGGUGAUUUUAUAUUUUUGGGCUUAUUAUGUAUAAGUCUUGAAUUAUUGUAAUGGAAUAGCUUGGUUAUAUUUAUAUGAUAUCACUAGAUGUUCGCCUUUUUAAA